rnacentral:rRNA from 1 species
GACGAACGCUGGCGGCGUGCUUAACACAUGCAAGUCGAACGAAGUGGCGGACGGGUGAGUAACGCGUAAUCAACCUGCCCUUCAGAGGGGGACAACAGUUGGAAACGACUGCUAAUACCGCAUACUGAAGGAGGGGAUGGCGUCUGAUUGGCUAGUUGGAGGGGUAACGGCCCACCAAGGCGAUGAUCAGUAGCCGGGCUGGGAGGGAUAACGGGCACAUUGGGACCUGAACACGGCCCAGACUCCUACGGGGGGGAGGAGGUGGGAAUCUUUGGCAAUGGGCGACAGUCUGACGGAGCAACGCCGGGGGAGUGAUGACGGCCUUCGGGUUGUAAAGCUCUGUUAAUCGGGACGCGGUACCGGAAUAGAAAGCCACGGCUAACUACGUGCCAGCAGCCGCGGUAAUUC